rnacentral:rRNA from 1 species
CAGCAGCCACGGAAAUACGAAGGGUGCAAGCGUUAAUCGGAAUUACUGGGCGUAAAGCGCGCGUAGGUGGUUUGGUAAGAUGGAUGUGAAAUCCCCGGGCUCAACCUGGGAACUGCAUCCAUAACUGCCUGACUAGAGUACGGUAGAGGGUGGUGGAAUUUCCUGUGUAGCGGUGAAAUGCGUAGAUAUAGGAAGGAACACCAGUGGCGAAGGCGACCACCUGGACUGAUACUGACACUGAGGUGCGAAAGCGUGGGGAGCAAACAGGAUUAGAUACCCCCGUAGUCCCUGUCUCUUAUAC